AAACAGGCAAUGACGGGAACGAGUAGCCAGCGGAUGGCCGCAUCCAGAGAGCCGGUGGGAGCUGCGAACCGGUUGCGGGCCGCGGGCGAAUUACAUCCCCGAGCCGGUUCGGCGAACAUGCUGCGGAACAAGUAGCCGGACCCGGAUGCGCCCGUUAUCGCGCAGCGAGUGAAAGCGUGAACUCCGGCCGGGUUGCGCGCUUUAACGAGGGUGGUACCGCGGGCAGCAAGUCCUUCUCGUCCCUUGG
rnacentral:ncRNA from 1 species